rnacentral:pre_miRNA from 13 species
UCGUUUCCAGAGCCAGGACCUGUUCCAGUUUUUUUCCGCGGUAAUAACGCGAGCAAGUCCUAUCACCGGGAGAAAAACUGGAGUAGGUCCUGCGACUCUA